UACGUAGGGUGCGAGCGUUGUCCGGAUUUAUUGGGCGUAAAGAGCUCGUAGGCGGUUUGUCGCGUCGGCCGUGAAAUCUCCACGCUUAACGUGGAGCGUGCGGUCGAUACGGGCAGACUUGAGUUCGGUAGGGGAGACUGGAAUUCCUGGUGUAGCGGUGAAAUGCGCAGAUAUCAGGAGGAACACCGGUGGCGAAGGCGGGUCCCUGGACAACACCUGACACUGAGGCACGAAAGCUAGGGGAGCAAACAGG
rnacentral:rRNA from 1 species